ensembl:lncRNA
GGUGGAAAGAGUACUAAAAUAUUUUACUCAAGUAAAAGUACUAUUACUUUGUUGAAAUUUUACUCAAGUACAAGUGAAAUUACCUGUCUAAAAAUUUACUCAAGUAAAAUUAAAAAGUAGCUCAUUUAAAAUGUACUCAGAGUAAAAGUUACAUAGUUACUUUUUUGUCAGCAGGAGGACAGCCUCUUCUGAGUAGUGCAAAAAAGACAAUGGGAUAAAUCUCAAAGUAGUUGUUUUUUAAUUAAAAGAAAAACUUUACAAAUUAAAGUGCAGUGGCAGUUAAAGUGCAAGUCUAUACAUCAAAAUGGAUAAUGGUCACCAAACCAACCAACCAAACUGUCAAAACCAUAUAAUUCUUUUACAUGAGAAUGUGUCCUAAACUGUCAAAUAAGAGAACAAGUACUGAAUUGAGCUGUACGGCAGCUGCUAUAAAACUGUGUUUUAAGUUUUUUAAACAUAGCCCUGCUCUGUUAAUUUUGAGGUGCAUUUCAAUUCAAUUCAAUAAAACAUUAUUGAUCCUGAAGGUUGACCCCGAAGGAAAUUGGGUUAAGGCUGCCGACCUUUGCCAGCGCCAUCUUACCCUUCUGACCAUACAUACAUUACACAAACAUCACAUGGGGAAGACAGGUCAGAGAGGUAUAACAAUGGAAAAUGCACCACAUGAGGAAAGAUAAGGAGAAAAAAAUAACUCUCCCCAGACUGAGCUCCAACAGGGAGAUCAGUUUGAGAACAGAAAAAAACACCUCUGCACAUAGCACAUGUUAUUCUUUUGCCUGCAGUGUGAACAUAUGUGGGUUAAGUAAGAAAGUAGCCGCUUCUGUCUUCUGUCUAAUUUAACUAUUUUUUUAAAAUAAAUUAUUAUUAUUAACAAACAGGAAAAAUGUAAGUAAACACAUUUUCUUUUGACAAUUUACAAAUCCAGUAAAAAAAAAAGGUAAGUUGCGUGGACAACAACGUGCCCCAUAAAAGCUUAUGUCUUAACUUAAUGUGAUUAACUUGAGCACAGCGUUUUUGCUAAAAUAAAUGUACAAGUUUCAUUUAACGUACCUCUACAUGCUUGCGCAGGUUUGAUGUGGAAUUUUUAAAAGCUGCUAACUCGGUCUCUCUGGGCAAACACAGCUUACACUGCAUAAUAAAGCUGUUGCCUUUCUUGCACUUGAAGCCGAAAUGGUCCCUUAAAUACGGCCAGGGGUUCACAUCCGUUUCUUCGAGUUCAGGGUCAGCAGAAUUCAACGGGGUUUCUUUUUUCGCUGGAUCCGUACCACCGAUAUCAGACUCCAUCUUUAUCGUGACCCAACGCCAAUUUGUUCUACUACCCAUCAUUACCUGCAGUAUUUCUGAAGCGCAAUGUUGGGGUUUUUUUUGUUUGUUUGUUCUUUUAAUUUACUCAGUAAGAGGUGUGAUUGAAAAUGUAGCAAAGUACAAUACUUUUUAAAAAAUAUACUUAAGUAAAAGUAAAAUUACCGACUUGAAAAAUGACUUUAAAAAGUACAAAUACACAAAAAAUACUACUCAAUUACAGUAACGCAAGUAAAUGUAAUUCGUUACUUUCCACCUUUGCUUUUAAGCAUAUAAAAUAUAUUAAAUUUCAUUCAUUAUACAUUACAGGGUGACAUGAAAAGUUUUUUGCUGUAUAAUAAUGUCUACAAACAUACAGUUUGUAAAAAUAUAAAUACAGAGAUAUUUCAUGGUGGGCAAUUAUUAUUAUCCUUUAAAAAAAUAGUACAGUCACUCUAAAAACUUUCAUACCAUAAUUUCUUUACAGGACUGUUUCAGAAUCACUCUACAUCUACUCAGGUACUUCACUAUAUUCAACCUCAACCAUUUUAUUUGAGUAUCCUUUUUCCACAUUGUGCAUUAAAUUUAACUUGAAAGCAAAUGACUGUAUAGCAGACACUUACUACUAUAAGUGUCUGUUAUACAGGAUAGUAUUUCACAACCCUUCAUAGUGUGGCCUCUAAAAACACUGUCUUCAGGUGGUCUUCAGGUGCUUGUGUUAAAUAUAAGUACAGUUUAAUUUGAACAAUUUUAUUUACUUUUUGGGUCCAGAAAAAGAGAAUAAACAAUUUCAGAUUUACUUUUCAGAUCUCUUCAGUUCAUUUCAUAUUCCCAUUGCGAAAGUCCCACAUAGCAGACAGGUCUGGCCCGGAUCUGGUGUCAAGCCGGCACUGCUGGCUGACCUCUGGAAUGGUAAGUGGUGUCAUCCAGAUAUGGGCCAGCCCUGGCAUAGAUGGCACUGUUUAUGUGAUAGCAUGCCACAUCUGGCCCGAUUGUGGUUUGGUUUAUGUGGCCCAGGCUCAUAGAAAACAGGUCUGGCCCAGAUCCGGCAUCAAGCUGGCACUUCUGACUGACUGGUGUCAUGGCAGGGUAUAUGUCAACCAGAUGUGGGCCAGGUCUGGCAAUGAUGGCACUAUUUAUGUUCCUAUUUUCCUAUUUUAGUUAGAAGACCCAAAUGCCAUGUUGCAACACUAUACUGCUAUGGUAGCCAACUUUAUCCAAAACCUAGUGAGGGUUUACUCAUGUUUACCACUGGGUGGCUGUAUCUCAGGUGGUAGAGCAGGUGACUAACUGAUCAGAAGGUUAGUGGUUUGAUCCCUGGCUCCUCCAGUCUGCUUGUCAAGAGUUUUAAUGUGUAUAAUGUGGUUAGGAAGCAUUCAGUUUGGAGAAAGUGUGUGAUUGGCUGAAUGUGGCAUGUCGUAUAGAGCACUUUGAGUAAUCUCUGAUAGUAGAAAAGCACUAUAUAAGAAUCAGUCCAUUCGCUGUCCGAACAGAGUUUCGUCAUGUUACUUUUGCACUAUUAUGUUC